AACGCCUGUCGCGGAUCUCUCCCUUCCCCUGGAGCAGAUCUACUGGAACGGGGGCUCCUCCCCAAGCCGCCGUUCCCCGGCCCCGCCAACCUCCCCCUGGUUGGCGGGGCUUCUUA
rnacentral:sRNA from 1 species